GAUUUUAUAACCUUCAGUUGCAAACUUGUGAUGACAUAGGAAACACAAGGUAAAUAUUGAACACAUAAAGAAGCUUGAUUUUAUGAAGUUGUCAACUGGGCCAGCUGACUGAAGGCUGAGGGAAAUGAAUUGAAUUUCUAACACUUAGCGCCCUAGAACUUGUGCGGCCACUUUUAGGGUUAGGAAAGUGGAACAUCUAUUCUAUGUACCACCC
rnacentral:lncRNA from 1 species